ACGGGAGGCAGCAGUGGGGAAUAUUGCACAAUGGGCGAAAGCCUGAUGCAGCAACGCCGCGUGAAGGAAGAAGGGUUUCGGCUCGUAAACUUCUAUCAAUAGGGAAGAAAUAAAUGACAGUACCUAAAUAAGAAGCCCCGGCUAACUACGUGCCAGCAGCCGCGGUAAUACGUAGGGGGCAAGCGUUAUCCGGAAUUACUGGGUGUAAAGGGUGAGUAGGCGGCAAUGUAAGUAAGAUGUGAAAGCCCGCAGCUUAACUGCGGGAUUGCAUUUUAAACUAUGUAGCUAGAGUACAGGAGAGGAAAGCGGAAUUCCUAGUGUAGCGGUGAAAUGCGUAGAUAUUAGGAAGAACACCAGUGGCGAAGGCGGCUUUCUGGACUGAAACUGACGCUGAGGCACGAAAGCGUGGGGAGCAAACAGGAUUAGAUACCCUGGUA
rnacentral:rRNA from 1 species